rnacentral:rRNA from 1 species
GUCCAGACUCCUACGGGAGGCAGCAGUGGGGAAUAUUGCACAAUGGGGGAAACCCUGAUGCAGCGACGCCGCGUGAGUGAAGAAGUAAUUCGUUAUGUAAAGCUCUAUCAGCAGGGAAGAAAAUGACGGUACCUGAGUAAGAAGCCCCGGCUAACUACGUGCCAGCAGCCGCGGUAAUACGUAGGGGGUAAGCGUUAUCCGGAUUUACUGGGUGUAAAGGGGGCGCAGACGGCGAUGCAAGCCAGGAGUGAAAGCCCGGGGCCCAACCCCGGGACUGCUCUUGGAACUGCGUGGCUGGAGUGCAGGAGGGGCAGGCGGAAUUCCUGGUGUAGCGGUGGAAUGCGUAGAUAUUAGGAGGAACAUCAGUGGCGAAGGCGACUUUCUGGACUGUAACUGACGCUGAGGCACGAAAGUGUGGGGAGCAAACAGGAUUAGAUACCCCUGUA